rnacentral:rRNA from 1 species
UACAGAGGUCUCAAGCGUUGUUCGGAUUCAUUGGGCGUAAAGGGUGCGUAGGUCGCGCUGUAAGUCAGGUGUGAAAUUUCGGAGCUUAACUCCGAAACUGCAUUUGAUACUGCGGUGCUUGAGGACUGGAGAGGAGACUGGAAUUUACGGUGUAGCAGUGAAAUGCGUAGAGAUCGUAAGGAAGACCAGUGGCGAAGGCGGGUCUCUGGACAGUUCCUGACACUGAGGCACGAAGGCCAGGGGAGCAAACGGG